rnacentral:rRNA from 1 species
ACACGUAAGGGGCGAGCGUUAUCCGGAUUCAUUGGGCGUAAAGAGGGAGCAGGCGGCAGCAAGGGUCUGUGGUGAAAGCCUGAAGCUUAACUUCAGUAAGCCAUAGAAACCAGGCAGCUAGAGUGCAGGAGAGGAUCGUGGAAUUCCAUGUGUAGCGGUGAAAUGCGUAGAUAUAUGGAGGAACACCAGUGGCGAAGGCGACGAUCUGGCCUGCAACUGACGCUCAGUCCCGAAAGCGUGGGGAGCAAAUAGGAUUAGAUACCCUAGUAGUCCACGCCGUAAACGAUGAGUACUAAGUGUCGGAUGUCAAAGUUCAGUGCUGCAGUUAACGCAAUAAGUACUCCGCCUGAGUAGUACGUUCGCAAGAAUGAAACUCAAAUGAAUUGGCGGGG